UACGAAGGGGGCUAGCGUUGUUCGGAAUCACUGGGCGUAAAGCGCACGUAGGCGGACUUUCAAGUCAGGGGGUGAAAUCCCGGGGCUCAACCUCGGAAUUGCCUUUGAUACUGUAGGUCUCGAGUCCGGAAGAGGUGGGUGGAAUUCCUAGUGUAGAGGUGAAAUUCGUAGAUAUUAGGAAGAACACGUGGCGAAGGCGGCCCACUGGUCCGGUACUGACGCUCAUGCAC
rnacentral:rRNA from 1 species